GUGAAUCAUCGAAUUUUUGAACGCAAAUUGCACUCUCUUCGGAGAGUAUGCUUGUUUGAGGGUCAGCCUAAAAAAAAACCGAUAUAGUCGCUGUUUCGCGGCGACAUUCGCCGGAAAUUGGGCUAUCUUAAACCUCUGGGUUUUAUGCGGAUCAAAAUUUUCUUUAUGAUUCCACGAACGUCUCUAAGAUUC
rnacentral:misc_RNA from 1 species